rnacentral:rRNA from 1 species
UUUAAAUGGCCGCAGUAUACUAACUGUGCAAAGGUAGCAUAAUCAUUAGUCUUUUAAUUGAAGGCUGGUAUGAAUGGUUGGACGAGAUAUUAACUGUUUCAUAAAAAUUUAUAAUAGAAUUUUAUUUUUUAGUCAAAAAGCUAAAAUAUAUUUAAAAGACGAGAAGACCCUAUAAAUCUUUAUAUUUAAAUUAUUAUAAUUUUGAAGAUUUAUUAUGUUAUAAUAAUUAAUAAUAUUUUAUUGGGGUGAUAUUAAAAUUUAAUAAACUUUUAAUUUGAAAAUUCAUUAAUUUAUGAAUAAUUGAUCCAUUAAUAGUGAUUAAAAGAAUAAGUUACUUUAGGGAUAACAGCGUAAUUUUUUUGGAGAGUUCAUAUCGAUAAAAAAGAUUGCGACCUCGAUGUUGGAUUAAGAUAUAAU